GACACUGGAGGUGGGAAGAGCUGCAAGAGCAAGUGAUUAUGAGUAUCUACUAUCAAUGUCGAUUGAAACCUUGAUGCUAGAAAAGGUUCAAGAGCCGUUGGUUGAAAAGGGAAAGCAAGAAAUAGAGGUGGAGGAAUUGAAGAAGGAAACUCCAACAUCUUUGUGGAUGAAAGAUCUUGAUGCUUUCAUUACAGCACUUGAUGAGCAUGAGAAGGAAGAAGCCCAGGUGGAGGAGGUGACAGGACAGACGGAGGGUAGGGUAGGCAAGCCUCUCGCUAAGGCUUCUAGACAAGUUGAAAAGAACCCAAGAAAGAGCAACACCAAGAAAGCCAAUGAAGCAAAUACUAUUGUUGAAUCUGUAGCAUCAGUUAGUACUACAGCUAAAACUGGUACGCAUCAUUCUUUUCUGAUGAAUAAAAAAUCAUCUUUGUCAGUAACCUAGUGUUUGGACGUACACGCCAAUCGGCAGCAUAGAAAUUGAAACCCGAUUGGCGUGUUUGAACGUACACGCCAAUCGGCAGCACAGAAAUUAAAACCUAAAAUGGAUGGAUUAUUAGUUACCAUUUUUUUCCCAUCUUGAAGAUUUCAUUCAUCUCAAUGCAUGUUAUCUUUUUCUCUCCGUAGGACAUGUUUCUGAGGGGGUAAAACCCAAAGGUAGGGGAGCUCCAAAGAAGGCUCCUGCUAGAAAGCAGAAAAUGUCGACUGCCAUUGAUAGUGAAGAGGAAGAUGAUGAGGUGCUCGAGCUGAAAGAAUGACUGGCAGCAUAUAACAUUGAUUCUCCUUCAGAUCAAAUAGGUAUAUGAUCAUCCAUGUGCAGUAAGCUUUCCGAUCAAAGCGAAGCUAAGAAUAGGGUGUUAGUUGAUUGUAAAUUGAUAACCAGUAGAUGCACAUCCAUGGAGUUUUCAUUUGCGAUUGUUGAAAAGCUAUUUGGCUGCGAGAAGGCAUUGGAUCUUAUUGUUAAUGAGAACUUUAAAUAGACAUAUAACUAUUAU